CAGGUAGAAUAGAAGACGUCUUACCCCCAUGUAGAAGAGAAGGUGUCUUACCCCCAGGUAGAAGAGAAGGUGUCUUACCCCCAGGUAGAAUAGAAGACGUCUUACCCCCAGGUAGAAGAGAAGGUCUCUUACCCCCAGGUAGAAGAGAAGACGUCUUACCCCCAGGUAGAAGAGAAGACAUCUUACCCCCAGGUAGAAUAGAAGGUGUCUUACCCCCAGGUAGAAGAGAAGGUGUCUUACCCCCAGGUAGAAGAGAAGACGUCUUACCCCCAGGUAGAAGAGAAGGUGUCUUACCCCCAGGUAGAAGAGAAGACGUCUUACCCCCAGGUAGAAGAGAAGGUGUCUUACCCCCAGGUAGAAGAGAAGGCGUCUUACCCCCAGGUAGAAGAGAAGACAUCUUACCCCCAGGUAGAAGAGAA